AGUGAACGCUGGCGGUAGGCCUAACACAUGCAAGUCGAACGGCAGCACAGUAAGAGCUUGCUCUUACGGGUGGCGAGUGGCGGACGGGUGAGGAAUACAUCGGAAUCUACUUUUUCGUGGGGGAUAACGUAGGGAAACUUACGCUAAUACCGCAUACGACCUACGGGUGAAGGCAGGGGAUCUUCGGACCUUGCGCGAUUGAAUGAGCCGAUGUCGGAUUAGCUAGUUGGCGGGGUAAAGGCCCACCAAGGCGACGAUCCGUAGCUGGUCUGAGAGGAUGAUCAGCCACACUGGAGCUGAGACACGGUCCAGACUCCUACGGGAGGCAGCAGUGGGGAAUAUUGGACAAAGGGCGCAAGCCUGAUCCAGCCAUACCGCGUGGGUGAAGAAGGCCUUCGGGUUGUAAAGCCCUUUUGUUGGGAAAGAAAAGCAGCAGGUUAAUACCCCGCUGUUCUGACGGUACCCAAAGAAUAAGCACCGGCUAACUUCGUG
rnacentral:rRNA from 1 species